CAUUCCACGAAACUUCGCUCGGCCGUCUCCGUUGUGCGACCUUAAGCGUUGUCCUCCCUUCUUUAUUCUUUCAUCCUGGUUCACCUAAUGGAUUUGCCAGGAUGAAAUAAAACCUCAUUCCACGAAACUUCGCUCGGCCGUCUCCGUUGUGCGACCUGAAGCGUUGUUCCUCCCUUCACACCCUUUCACUGUCUUCCAUGUUUGUUGUAACGUCUUCCUGUGUAACGGUAAUUCAAGAUGUUCAAUGCUCCCUCUUUCAAUUCAAGCCCCACUACUCUUUCUUCAAUUGGCGAUUGUAGGGAUGGCAAAGCGUCGGGAAUUGCUCACAUAUGGAGAAGGCGUCCUUGUCCAAAAUCUCUUUUGAUGAUACCUCUGGUACUGUGAAAAAGCUGGAGGAAUGUUCAAGGAGAAACUGCAAAAACUUGGAGGGCUUGAUGCAGUCUAUGGAUUUUCAUGUUGUAAUGGAGGUGUGGACCUGUUUGUUUCAUUUUUAUCAUUAGCUUCUUUUAGUAAGAUAAGAACGACUAUCUUUGUUUGGCUAGGACGUCAAUAAUUUUUGUAUAGUAUCGUAGAUUGCUAGCUUUAUAAUUGUUCAAUUAUCUUUAGGAUCAUAUUUUAUCUUAAUUUCACGAUGUCCUUAAAUCGUUUAUAAUAUAUACCCCCUGAAAACUUUUGAGUUCCUAUGAUAGCUAUGAUUAGCUUGUCAGAUAUCAAGUCCAGCACAAGAGACAGGCUUUGCAAAGUAAAAGAAAUUUACGGUUGGUGGUAUUGCUUAUAUAUUCGUAUUAUAUACUUUUGUUAAGAAUAUUGCACAUUGAUGGUUUUGGUUGAUGAAUUGGAAUCUCUGAGUUCGAAGUUGGAGCUUUGAAGGGUCUUUUUUUGAAGACUGUUCUUAUUUUGCUGAAUCCUUUUUUUAAUUUUGAAACUUAUUAUCAGGUAACCCAGGAAUGGUCUCUCCUUCCAAUCGAAUAAGAAAGCACAACACCAUUGGUAAUCCUGGCGUGCUAACUGGUUCAUUUCAUCAUCUUCUAAGGGUACGUUUCCACUUGUGAUAUGUUUCCAAGGAGAAAGGAAGGCACUAUAAUUAGCCUGAGAUAAACAAGUUUCAGUGACUUUGAAUCUGUUCAUGAGAAGAAUGGCCUCAGACUCAAGCAGUGGUUGUAACCUUAGAAGUUUGAGAGUUUCUGGCAAGGAGAAUCUAACAGACUGGAAAGCUGUGGCAUCUACUAGGAUACAUCGGAUAUUAAGUUGCAGAGACUGCAAGCAUCACAAGAAUAUAAACCUCAAAUUCAAUUUUCACACUUUCUGGCUUCUUCUGACCAACGCCUCAGCAAGCUUUUAACAAAUUACCUCCAGAUAAGGACACCUGUUAAGCAUCUGCGUCAAGUUAGACUGAAACAGAGCGGGAGAAUCCAAGUCUGCCAUUAUCAUUAGUAGAUUACACAAUAGAAAAUCUAACAGGGAGGGAAAAAAAACUAAAAUAAUUUCCCCAUUACGUUUAACUAAAUAAAACGCUCUUUCAAAUAAUAAUAAAAAUUCAUAGGAGUGGCUAUUUUCCCUACUA